rnacentral:rRNA from 1 species
CAACACAGGUGUGCGUUUAAGGAAAGAUUAAAUAGGCCAGAAGGAACUCGGCAAACACAAGCUCCGCCUGUUUACCAAAAACAUCACCUCUAGCAUCUCAAGUAUUAGAGGCACUGCCUGCCCAGUGACAUAGUUAAACGGCCGCGGUAUCCUGACCUUGCAAAGGUAGCAUAAUCACUUGUUCUUUAAUUAAGGACUCGCAUGAAUGGCUUCACGAGAGCUUAACUGUCUCCUGACCUAAAUCAGUGAAAUUGACCUUCCCGUGCAGAGGCGGGAAUAUCCUUACAAGACGAGAAGACCCUAUGGAGCUUAAGAUUCAUAGUCUAACCUAACUCAACAAAACCCUACAUGGA